UCCAGGCACCACACCACAGAUUUUACCUGCAAUCCCUUAAGUAGCUGCACUGAACUCAGCACAGUAUAUUUCAUUGACUCCAGGAGGACAUUCAACUGCGACACAGAUCUUCAAGGUGUCUUCUGCCAGUGGAAAAAGGCAAUCCCUUAAGUAGCUGCACUGCACUGAACUCAGCACAGUAUAUUUCAUUGACUCCAGGAGGACAUUCAACUGCUACACAGAUCUUCAAGGUGUCUUCUGCCAGUGGAAAAAAGAAACCAAACAAACAUGUGCUCAUGUGUCCUCUCUGUAUGAAGUCGCAGUCAGCUCUGUCUACUCAUCUGAAAAGGACUCAUUUGAUGACCUCAAAGGAACAACUGACAAAGGCCGUGGAGGACACAGAGACGUCUUCCAAAUGAUUCCUUAAGACCGGCAGGACAUGGGACUAUUAUCUCCUUAAGACAGGCAGGACAUGGGACUAUUAUCUCCUUAAGACUGGCAGGACAUGGGACUAUUAUCUCCUUAAGACAGGCAGGACAUGGGACUAUUAUCUCCUUAAGACAGGCAGGACAUGGGACUAUUAUCUCCUUAAGACAGGCAGGACAUGGGACUAUUAUCUCCUUAAGACAGGCAGGACAUGGGACUAUUAUCUCCUUAAGACAGGCAGGACAUGGGACUAUUAUCUCCUUAAGACAGGCAGGACAUGGGACUAUUAUCUCCUUAAGACAGGCAGGACAUGGGACUAUUAUCUCCUUAAGACAGGCAGGACAUGGGACUAUUAUCUCCUUAAGCCUGUGAGAGAA